UUGUCUUCUUUUGCGCAUGUAAGAGUGUACAUAGAGUUCGCAAUACAUGCAUAUUUUUUCGUUGUUCUGGAAUUUUUAUGUUCCUAUAAAUUUUUCAUGCGUUUGUGAAUUCUAAACAAAUGCUGAUGUAACAAAUAAUCACAGUGGACAAAAUUAUUGGCUUAUACGCGCUAAUGAACCAUGGCAGCCUUUCAGCUGCCGCCCAAGGAUUUUUUUAAUAAUGAUGUUGUUAAAGCGAUUACAUGUUCUAUCAAGUAUGUUUUAUAUAUAGUUGUGGUUGCCCAUGUUGGCCACGCGUCUUUCAUCCUUAAUCUAUCUACCUCGGCUGUCUUCUUCUUCACUUUACCUUUGGCUUUCGUUUUGAGGCUUUGCUAAUCUAUGCUUUUGCUAUCUUUGUCUUACCCUUUGUUUUUCACAAAUCCUUCGUUCCUCUUAAAUAUUGAGUUUGACUCAGAUGUAGAAAUGAGGCUUUAUUAUUAUUAUUAUUUUUUACUUUUCUGGGUUUGUAACUGCAUUUGUAAAAUCCAGUAUAGUUUUCUAAGUUCGUUAGAGUUGAUGGUAAUUUUUUUAACAGGUUUUGGCAAAUCUCAAUAAUUGUGGUUUCCGGCUAUUUCUUCCUACCUUUGGACGCGCUUUGUCCUCAAGGUAACUGACUUAAACUUCUGCAUUUAUUUAUUAAAAGUGUAAUUGUACGGUCUUAAGUUUUGUAACUGCAUUGUAAAAUCCAGUAUAGUUUUUACAAAAUCCUUUCAACAUUUAAUUAACAGAGCAGCAUUCACAAUUUCAACCAAAAUUUCAAAAGCCACAAGGUACACUUACAUUUAAAAAUUCAUAAAAAAUGAAAAUUGAAAUUAGAAGUCUGAAUAUAGCUGGUCCUGGACAAAUACUCGUCGAAAAUAUCUUCAAGGGACCAAGAAAACACAUCAUCACUUAUCAGUGGAACGACGUUUCAGUCUUUUUCUUCUCUGAAGCCUCCAUAAUCUUGAUUUACCUUUUUGGUAGAAUUCUUCGUUUAAAUUUCCAAGGUCUAGGACAAAUUUUCUCUUAAAGUUAUGGGUACUUUGGAUAUGAUUUCAUUUUAUCUAAAUUAUUCAUUUAAUUUCUGAGAUGUUAUAUCAAAAUCUCUAGAUUAACUCAUACUCAUUAGGCCUUGCAGAUUUACGAAGUAGGGGAUUGAGCUGUUAAGAAAAACUAAGCGCUAAAAAGUUUCAAGUGGCUAUGAUACGGAGGAGAAGCUGCAAGAGCUUAUGAUCUUGCUUUAAGAACUUCGUCUACUCAUAUAACUUUCCGACAUUGCUGCUGAAUAUGUGAAGAAGAAGCAUUGCUCAACCAAGAAGCCCUAUUCAAGGUCCAUCUCCACCGCAACCUAGCUCUUGACUGUGGUUUCGGAGUUCACUAAAAUCCCUUCAAAUUCGCUUCAGUUUUGAUGAGAAGAUGAGGCAAAGGUAGAUGGUGCUGCUCUUGGUGUGACCAAGGAAGUUCUCGCGUUCGUCGGGAAUAUCUCUAUAUGCAUCCGGAGACUUUGCUCGAUUUCCAACGACGACGAAGAUUCAAAUGGUGUACUCUGCUUCAAUUUGUCCAUUUCUUUGUGUAAUUCAAUUCAAUGUGCUUUGUUUUCAUGAAACUAAAUACAUAGUAGUGAUACUAAUAUUCAAUUCUCUGGACGCAUGUGCUUCUCUUUGUAAUAUAGCACAUUCGAUGAAUAAAAAAGUUGUAGAUUUGCACAUUCGAUAAAACAUCCUUUCUUCC